UUGCUGCAGCCGUGGGAAGAAAAUCUCCCUGCUGCCGAGCGCCGUGAAGAAGGGGACUCGGCUGAAACAGGCCUGCGCGAGGGAGGAGCAGGGAGGAAGGGCGCUGCAAUGAGAUGUGAGCGGCUGCUCGAGCUUCGCCGGCGCCAUGGGAGGAGCACGUCGUCCAUGCUUGCUGCCGUGAAGCAGGGAGGAAGAAGACCUGCUCACCGGCCUAGGGGAGAAGGGCAUCGCCGAGCAGGACCAGGGGGACGGCGACCGGAUGUGGGGAAGAAGGACCCUGCUGCUGCGCCAUGGAGCAAGCAGGAGAGAGUUGUGCGUGUGGGAGAGGAGGAAGAAGAGAGCGGCGGCUGGAAAAAGUGGAGGGGUGGGAAUGCAAAAUGA
rnacentral:misc_RNA from 1 species